AGGGAAGGUGGGGAUGACGUCAAGUCCUCAUGGCCCUUAUGCCCAGGGCUACACACGUGCUACAAUGGGCGGUACAAAGGGUAGCGAUGCCGCGAGGUGAAGCCAAUCCCAAAAAGCCGUCCACAGUUCGGAUUGGAGUCUGCAACUCGACUCCAUGAAGCCGGAAUCGCUAGUAAUCGUGGAUCAGCAUGCCACGGUGAAUACGUUCCCGGGCCUU
rnacentral:rRNA from 1 species